rnacentral:lncRNA from 1 species
GCUGCGGUUCAGUAAGACGCAAUGACAGAUCUCUGCUUUUCCUUUCCCUCCCUCUCCUCCCCUCUUAUCUUUAAAGCCAGAAGAUACCAGCAGCCUCCAAGUGCUUUUGGGUGCAGUAUCUGCAAAUCUCAGGCAUGUUAUAACGGUGAAGAAUCACUCCCAUGCUAAAGAUCAAGGCAGCUUUAAAACGGAGGCCAAAGCCUGCACCAGAUAUCAUCGCCAGCUUUUUCUUGCCUACAGUUUAUUUUAUGUUACGUCUUAAACUGGCCUUUUUUUUUUUUUUUUUAAAUAGCAAGUGACCUUCAUUUAACUCUGCCACGUUUGAUGAUUUAACAGCAGAUGCAGAACAGCCACCUCCGUACGGAAGCUGCCCCACCGUGCGCCCCUUCUGGCUGCCCCUCGCACAGCCUGUUCCGGGGUAACUCCACGUUCUUCCCCAAGAGUUUCACCUUUCCCAUCCCGGCCGCGCGCCGCAGCCGGCAUCGCCUGCUCCCUGCCCGUCCGACCCUCAGCGGGAAGCUUCAUCUCCAAGCGCUGCGACUACCCCGCUCUCCGACUGCUCCUCCGGAAAGCCAGGAGCCCCGGGCUCGGUAAGCGCGACAGAGAGAGCGUGGUUAUUUUAUGCUCGGCGGCACGUGCUGCGUGCUCUCCACGUGCCGAAAACGCGACCCCGCUGCCCAACGCAAGCGUCCUCCGCGCCUCCAUGUGCAACCCCAAAGGGAAGAGGAGCACCAGCCUUCCGGCUAACCUCAGCCAGGACGAGGCCACUCAAGAGGCUCCAGGAAAACACAUGCAUCGAACCGUACACGCAACGGAGGGAGCUGCAAGCGAGGAACUCCUAGAAGAAAGACUCCAGCUCCCAGCUCGCUCACGGCCUGUGGAUGGAAAUCGCCCCUCGAGGCGCCAGGAUGGAGCCAACUGCUCUGCUCAGAUUCUGCCGGCAUUGGGAAACGGUUCCAACGGCAAAACACCGGAUGGGAUCUUCUCCUCUCCUCCCAUGCGCUACACGCACGCAAGACACGCUUUUUCUGACACCUCUCGACUAGCAUAAGUCGGGUAUUC